AAUCCUUAACAGCUGACAACUCCUCUAUGCUGUUAGUCUGUGUCAUGUUCUCUAUCUUCCCUGAAUGCAUCACCAUUUGUCAUGAAUACUUAAGUAACAGCAGUAUUACUUUUUCUUUAGGUAAGAUCUGUGAAUUUUUAAGAAAUAAUAAAUUGCUAAGUAGGCUAAGUAAAAACUACUUUCAGAAUAUUUAUUUGCAGAGAGCUAGCUUCCGGACUACACUAACUUUUUGUAAGUGUUGUUAGUGUGACUUUUUGGCAACAACUCAGCGGGCAAUGUAUAUCUAGAGAAGCAAUGAAGGACGAGGGACUUUACUGUUUGGACAAUUAAGAAUGGGUUUCAGCACCUGCUCAAAUGUGUCCUUAAAUAUUUUAUUGAAGAAUGGUAUCACACUGUCAACUAGUGAAAUUUUCCUCUCAUUUCUCAAAGGGCAGUUGUCAGCACUGGAAAACGUAUCUCAGCACACACUAAGCGCAACAUUAAAGGCAAAUAUUAGGAUGAGUGAACAAGGACUAGGUCUUAUAAUCAUUCAGAAUGGACCGUAUCUCCAGAUAGCAAGUCUUGUUGAGAAAAGCUCUGCAGCUAACAAUGGAAAGCUAAAACCAGGUGACAUUCUAAUAAAAAUUGGACACGCUAACGUAGUAGGAUGGACUCUGCGAGAGCUGAGGCAACUCUUGCACAACAUUCCAGUAGGAACUAGUCUACAAAUCAGGGUUUACAGAGAUUUUGUUGAAGUACCUCAACACUGGCGAAGUGCAGCUGACUUAAUUCCUGAAGUAAAGCUUCCUACGACAGCAGCCACAUCAGGUGAAGACGCUGAGGACAAAGAUGACUCCGAGAACAGUAGCGAUGAUGAUCUAGACUUGGAAACUUUUCAGUAUAAACCUUCCCAAUCAUCAUGUUAUGAGUUUGCCCAUAAAUUACCAUCGCUAUCCGAAAUUUGGCCUACAUCUAAUACAAGCCACACACUUACGGUAGGCAGAGACAUUGGAUAUGACAUUAUACUUCAUAAUGACACUGAUGCAUGGGGUAAUUCUAAAUUUGAUACUAUUGGCAUUAAGUCUGCUUCAUAUCGGACUAUGGAAAAGAACGAGACCAGUUCCUCUUCCUCCUGCUCUUCUGUAUCAGAUGCAUUCUGGCUGGAAGAAUUUGGCUUUCAUUUGGAAUAGCUCAAAACCUGACUUCUUCAAAACCUAGAUUUCUGAAGUCGUAUUAUACCUUUUCACUUUCAAUACUGGAUUGUGAGGUUUACUACAUUGGAAGAUGCUGGUGAACCAUGCUUAAGACUUCCAAAAAUUUAAGCAUCCUAGGAUAUUUAAAAUGAUACAGUAGCCACACAAAGCUGUCUCUUCUAGCAACGCCCUCCCUACUCUCAAAGAGGCCUAUCAAUGCUACUUGUGGAGAAGACGUUCAAACGCGUUACCUCUGCUAGUCCUCCAAGUAGGGCAUGCAAGGUCUAAGAAGCUAAAAUACAUUCAUCUGUUUUUUGAAGGACGACGUAGAAGAUGUGUGAAAGAAAGAAGUCAUACCAGAAGGGAAGAAAAAAAUGCCACAGCACUGUGUGCAACUCCCUAAUAAUAGGGAGGUCCUUUUUUAGGAAGCUUAUAAUGCCAAAUAUAAAGGCAGAGAUUUCAACACUUAGCUACUAAUGACUAAGGCACAAUCAAUCAUAUCGAGGUGAUCAUGUUUCGUGUAAUCGAGCUUUACUUGACAUCUUAUAAGUGUGUUAUACAUGCAACAGUCUUAAUACUUCUUCUACUUGAGUGAACCUGUACAAUAUUGUAUUCUGCAACUACAGCUUUAGAGAUUCAGUGCAGUUUAACACUGCUUGAAGAUUAAGUACCAUCUCACUUAUGUGUACAGCUCUGUAAAUCAGGAACUCUCAAACGUUGUUGAUAUUACUGCCUCUCUAAGGGCACAGCAAUCUUCCCCAUCUCAAAAUACACCUGAGGCAUGUAUUUAGAGCACUGGAUGUAGUAUCACUAAUUCAGUGCUUUACAUUUGCAGACCUAAUUAUUACUGUUCUUUGAAGAUGCAGAAGAGUAAGGUUGUUUAAAUGACUGUUUUGGGAACUGCUGCAGUGUGACCACAAGGGGAAUUACCUAAAUAAUGCAAUUUAGGAUUCUAAUUUAAAUACAUCUCAGUAUUACCGAGCAUGAUUAAAACAGCAUCUGCUGAUGCUUACCAAUUUCUUACAUAGAAAUAGUUAUCAUAAAACACUAACACUCAUUUAACAAGCUUCUAUUAGAAAUUACUGCUAGCAGAGAAUCAAUGUAGCUUUUCAACAAGAGUAUUGGUAGGGUUUUAAUUUUGAAACAGGAAAGUUAGCGCUUCCCAACAGAAAUAAUUACAGGACAGCUAUCGUGUUUGCUCUACAGAAUAGUCUAAGCGCUUGACAAGUAGCUACACGUGAAGAAGCUUCUCUUCAUAACACAUUAGACAGUUCUUUACCC